GCCGGGCAUGGUGGCGCAUACCUGUAGUCCCAGUUACUCGGGAGGCUGAGGCAGGAGAAUCGCUUGAACCCAGGAGGCGGAGGUUGCAGUGAGCCAAGAUUGCACCACUGCACUCCAGCCUGGGUGACAGAGUGAGACUCCGUCUCAA
rnacentral:SRP_RNA from 1 species